CUUUGUGAAGCAGGCACAAGGGCCUUUGUUUUGUUCCCUGCUUCAAUCUUAUUUCUUCAGUGCACACACACACACACACACACCCCUGGUCAACAUGCAGAUGAGCCAUUUGUGCUUUUGAUUGUAAACUGCCCUAUUUUAGUGAAGAAUGCAGAGGCACUAAGUAACCACCCUGCCUUUUAGACAGGACAGAUGCUUUUCUGGGAGAAAAACAAAAGGCAUCUCGCUUACCAGAAGUAGACAAUUUACCAAAUCACACAGUGUCUAAACUCCAUAUUAUUCAAGUCAAAUUUUUAAUUUCUAUAACGUCUAUAUUUUCUAGAAUGUACUAUUUAUAAAUAAUAGGAAUACUGUCAUUCCAAACUAUCUUCCCAGAAUGUUGGUAGUAAUAUUCUGAGAUGGAGGACUCCUAAGUACCAUGAUAAUAUUGCCUUAGGAAAGUUUUAUAGAUUUGUUCCCCAUGCUUGGUCUUCAGUUCUUUUCCACCUUGAUCUGUAUGUGAUACACACAUGCUAUCCCUGUCGGGGUUUCUCUGGGCUGUGACUUGACAUGGGAGGACCUGACACCACACCGAGUCAGAUUCCCUCCUGCACCCGGACUCUCCCAAGCUACCCAGACUUGGGUGGCAGAGGGGCAGCAUCUGUCACAAAUGACGUGGUGACUCGAAACCCCUUUAUACAACUUAUAUUUAAAUUUUUUGGUUUAAUUUAAAAAUAUGAUACAGGAAAAAAAAGUUUCUCAGACUUCUAAGAGAAAAUAAUUCAUGUAUUUCCUACCUGAUUCAAUGUAAUUCCACAAAAUUGUCUCACUUACUAAAUAGCUGAUAAAAGUAGCAUUUGCUACACUAAUAAUUUGAUUAUCUACUGGGAAUUUGAGGACACAGCUCAGAUGGUUAGCUUCAGUCUUGUUUUCUGAUGUAGCUGGAGGUAACAUCCAGACAUUUCACUCAAAAUCAUGCCAGGAAAAUUGAUCAGUUUGGUGAAAUGAAAGGUAGUGCUGGGGUAUGCAGAAAAUAUUUUCAUUUAGACUGGAGA